rnacentral:rRNA from 1 species
CAGUCGCCGCGGUAAUACGUAGGGUGCGAGCGUUAAUCGGAAUUACUGGGCGUAAAGCGUGCGCAGGCGGUUGUGUAAGACAGGUGUGAAAUCCCCGGGCUUAACCUGGGAACUGCGCUUGUGACUGCACAGCUAGAGUAUGGCAGAGGGGGGUGAAAUUCCACGUGUAGCAGUGAAAUGCGUAGAGAUGUGGAGGAACACCGAUGGCGAAGGCAGCCCCCUGGGCCAAUACUGACGCUCAUGCAUGAAAGCGUGGGGAGCAAACAGGAUUAGAGACCCCUGUAGUCCCUGUCUCUUAUAC